GACGAACGCUGGCGGCGUGCUUAACACAUGCAAGUCGAACGGAAAGGCCCUGCUUUUGUGGGGUGCUCGAGUGGCGAACGGGUGAGUAACACGUGAGUAACCUGCCCUUGACUUUGGGAUAACUUCAGGAAACUGGGGCUAAUACCGGAUAGGAGCUCCUGCUGCACGGUGGGGGUUGGAAAGUUUCGGCGGUUGGGGAUGGACUCGCGGCUUAUCAGCUUGUUGGUGGGGUAGUGGCUUACCAAGGCUUUGACGGGUAGCCGGCCUGAGAGGGUGACCGGCCACAUUGGGACUGAGAUACGGCCCAGACUCCUACGGGAGGCAGCAGUGGGGAAUAUUGCACAAUGGGCGGAAGCCUGAUGCAGCAACGCCGCGUGCGGGAUGACGGCCUUCGGGUUGUAAACCGCUUUCGCCUGUGACGAAGCGUGAGUGACGGUAAUGGGUAAAGAAGCACCGGCUAACUACGUGCCAGCAGCCGCGGUGAUACGUAGGGUGCGAGCGUUGUCCGGAUUUAUUGGGCGUAAAGGGCUCGUAGGUGGUUGAUCGCGUCGGAAGUGUAAUCUUGGGGCUUAACCCUGAGCGUGCUUUCGAUACGGGUUGACUUGAGGAAGGUAGGGGAGAAUGGAAUUCCUGGUGGAGCGGUGGAAUGCGCAGAUAUCAGGAGGAACACCAGUGGCGAAGGCGGUUCUCUGGGCCUUUCCUGACGCUGAGGAGCGAAAGCGUGGGGAGCGAACAGGCUUAGAUACCCUGGUAGUCCACGCUGUAAACGGUGGGUACUAGGUGUGGGGUCCAUUCCACGGGUUCCGUGCCGUAGCUAACGCUUUAAGUACCCCGCCUGGGGAGUACGGCCGCAAGGCUAAAACUCAAAGGAAUUGACGGGGCCCCGCACAAGCGGCGGAGCAUGCGGAUUAAUUCGAUGCAACGCGUAUAACCUUACCUGGGUUUGACAUGGAUCGGGAGCGCUCAGAGAUGGGUGUGCCUCUUUUGGGGUCGGUUCACAGGUGGUGCAUGGCUGUCGUCAGCUCGUGUCGUGAGAUGUUGGGUUAAGUCCCGCAACGAGCGCAACCCUUGUUCACUGUUGCCAGCACGUUAUGGUGGGGACUCAGUGGAGACCGCCGGGGUCAACUCGGAGGAAGGUGGGGAUGACGUCAAGUCAUCAUGCCCCUUAUGUCCAGGGCUUCACGCAUGCUACAAUGGCUGGUACAGAGAGUGGCGAGCCUGUGAGGGUGAGCGAAUCUCGGAAAGCCGGUCUCAGUUCGGAUUGGGGUCUGCAACUCGACCUCAUGAAGUCGGAGUCGCUAGUAAUCGCAGAUCAGCAACGCUGCGGUGAAUACGUUCCCGGG
rnacentral:rRNA from 1 species